UACGGGGGGGGCAAGCGUUGUUCGGAAUUACUGGGCGUAAAGGGCUCGUAGGCGGCCUACUAAGUCGGAUGUGAAAUCCCCAGGCUUAACCUGGGAACUGCAUCCGAUACUGGAUGGCUUGAAUUCGGGAGAGGGAUGCAGAAUUCCAGGUGUAGCGGUGAAAUGCGUAGAUAUCUGGAGGAAUACCGGUGGCGAAGGCGGCAUCCUGGACCGACAUUGACGCUGAGGAGCGAAAGCUAGGGGAGCAAACGGG
rnacentral:rRNA from 1 species